rnacentral:rRNA from 1 species
CCUACGGGAGGCAGCAGUGAGGAAUAUUGGUCAAUGGGCGGAAGCCUGAACCAGCCAAGUAGCGUGCAGGAUGACGGCCCUACGGGUUGUAAACUGCUUUUAUACGGGAAUAACGCGCCUUACGUGUAGGGCUUUGCAUGUACCCUAUGAAUAAGGACCGGCUAAUUCCGUGCCAGCAGCCGCGGUAAUACGGAAGGUCCGGGCGUUAUCCGGAUUUAUUGGGUUUAAAGGGAGCGUAGGCCGCAUGUCAAGCGUGCUGUGAAAUGUCCGGGCUCAACCCGGGCCUUGCAGCGCGAACUGGGGGGCUUGAGUCCGCGGAAAGCAGGCGGAAUGCGUCGUGUAGCGGUGAAAUGCUUAGAUAUGACGAAGAACCCCGAUUGCGAAGGCAGCUUGCUGCAGCGGAACUGACGCUGAUGCUCGAAAGCGCGGGUAUCGAACAGGAUUAGAUACUCCGGUAGUC